rnacentral:lncRNA from 1 species
ACAGACUGGAAACUAACUGGUUCACAGAGACUAACCUACAGGAGUGAGAGUUCUGAGCCACACAUCAAACUCUCACGUGUGGGGAUCUGGCACAGGGAGAAAGAGCCCCAGAGCAUCUGGCAUUGAAGGCCAUGGGGCUUGUGCGCAGGAGCUCCACGGGACUGGGGGAAACGGAGACCCCAUUCUUAAAAGGCGCACACAGACUUUCACGUGCACUGGGUCCCAGGGCAAAGCAAAGUCUCCAUAGGAAUCUGGGUCAAACCUGACUGCAGUUCUUGGAGGACAUCCUGGGAAAACAGGGGUGAAUGUGGCUUGUUGUGAGGGAAGGACAUUGAAGGCAAAGCUCUCAGGAAUAUUCAGCAGGUGCCUUUCUCUGGAGGUGGCCAUUUUGGGAAAAUCUGGCCCCACCCAUCAGUCAGUGCUGAGAAGCCCCAGGGCAAACAACAAUCCAGGUGGGAUCACAGCCCCACCCCUCAGUAAACAGGCUACCUAAAGACCCCUCAGGCACACAGCUGCCUCUAAUCCCAUCCAGAGACUAAGCCCCACCCACCAGAGGGAUUAGAAUCAGCUCCACCUACCAGUGGGCAGGCAUCAGCCCCUCCCAUCAGGAAGCCUACAGCAAGCCCCCAUACCGACUUCAGCCACAAGGGGGGCAGACACCAGAAAAGUAAGAGAGGCUACAACUCUAUUGUCUGCAAAAAGGUCACCACACCAAAAACCUAUAAAAAUGGAAAAGACAGAGGACUAUAACUCAGAUGAGGGAAAAAGGAAAAAACCCAGAAAAUCAGCUAAGCCAUGACGAGAUUCUCAGCCUCCAGGAAAAAGACUUUAGAUUGUUGAUGCUGAAGAUGAUGCAAGACAUUGGGAAUAAACUGGAGGCAAAGAUGGAUAACUUACAGGAAACACUGAAAAAAGAGAUACAAGAUAGAAAACUUAAACAAGAAGAGAUGCAAAAUACAAUAACUGAAAUAAAAAAUUCACUAGAAACAGCUAACAGCAGCAGAAUGCAGGAGGCAGAACAAAUAAGCGAGGUGGAGGACAGAUUAGUGGAAAUUA